UAAUAGCUCACUAGUCGAGAGGUCCUGCGCCGAAAAUGUCCGGGGCUGAAACACGUCACCGAAGCUCAGGAAUGACUUAUGGUCAUUGGUAGAGGAGCAUUCUUAAAGGAGCGAAGCAGUACCGAUAAGGAGCUGUGGACUUUUAAGAAGAGAGAAUGCCGGAAUGAGUAGCGAGAUGGAGGUGGGAAUCCUCCAGGCCGAAUAUCCAAGGUUUCCAGGGUAAAGCUGAUCUGCCCUGGGUAAGUCGGGGCCUAAGGAGAGGCAGAAAUGCGUAUCCGAUGGACAGCAGGUUGAGAUUCCUGCACUAUCUUAAAACAGAACUGUGGGGACAUUUGUGGAAAGCACAGGCGCGGAACGGAAAGCCGCGUGCAAGCGAAGGAGGAGUCACAUAGGAAAAACCGUGUGGCAAUCCAAAGGCGUGAUGCGGACCGAAUUAAAGUAGGGAAGUGUGUGAGCCAUGAAUCAAGAAAAGCCGCUAUUGUUUUUAAGAUACCCGUACCGUAAACCGACACAGGUGGAUGAGGAGAGAAUCCUAAGGCCGGCGGAAGAAGCAUUGUUAAGGAACUCGGCAAAAUGACCCCGUAACUUCGGGAGAAGGGGUGCCCACUUCAGGGUGGGCCGCAGAGAAUAGGCUCAAGCAACUGUUUAGCAAAAACACAGGUCUAUGCGAAACCGAAAGGUGAGGUAUAUGGGCUGACGCCUGCCCGGUGCUGGAAGGUUAAGAGGAGAGGUUAGCGCAAGCGAAGCUUUGAAUUUAAGCCCCAGUAAACGGCGGCCGUAACUAUAACGGUCCUAAGGUAGCGAAAUUCCUUGUCGGGUAAGUUCCGACCCGCACGAAAGGCGUAAUGAUUUGAGCGCUGUCUCGACAAUGCAUCCGGUGAAAUUGAAGUACCAGUGAAGAUGCUGGUUACCCGCGCCAGGACGGAAAGACCCCAUGGAGCUUUACUCCAGUUUGGUACUGGGAUUCGGUACUGCAUGUACAGGAUAGGUGGGAGACUGAGAAAUUGGAACGCCAGUUUCAAUGGAGUCACUGUUGGGAUACCACCCCUGCAGUAUUGGGUUUCUAACCAGCCGCUGUGAUCCAGCGGUGGGACAAUGCCAGGCGGGGAGUUUGACUGGGGCGGUCGCCUCCGAAAGGGUAUCGGAGGCGCUCAAAGGU
rnacentral:rRNA from 1 species